CACGUAGGGUGCGAGCGUUGUCCGGAAUUAUUGGGCGUAAAGGGUGCGUAGGCGGUUUGACAAGUCUGAUGUGAAAUCUAUGGGCUCAACCCAUAGUCUGCAUUAGAAACUGUCGGGCUUGAGUAUGGGAGAGGUGAGUGGAAUUUCCGGUGUAGCGGUGAAAUGCGUAGAUAUCGGAAGGAACACCUGUGGCGAAAGCGGCUCACUGGACCAUUACUGACGCUGAUGCACGAAAGCUAGGGGAGCAAACAGG
rnacentral:rRNA from 1 species